rnacentral:lncRNA from 1 species
CUUAGUGAAUGGGUCUGCCACGUUGUCCGCGGAGUCUACUCUCUGCAUCUCGACAUACUUCUUCUCAACAUAGUCGCUGUUGGGAAUUGUGUCCCAAAGCCAAUUUUUAUUGUAAGAAUAAUGUAUAUGUUUUAUUUAAUGAAUAAUAAAAUCUAUUCUGGCAUUCUUUUCAUCAAAAGUGUUGCAUCUUCAAAUAGGAACUCCUGUGUAUUGUGAUGAAGUCCUUAGGACUAAUUUAGUGGAUAAAAGAGGUUUUAUCAUUUAGUCCUUAAAUUGGUUCGCGACCGAUUGACAAGCUAUUAAUUGGACAAUAGCUAUGUCAAGUAUAGAUCGUUGUAUGCCAUUUAGUUGGUUGUCCUCUUAACCAAGGAGUGUGGAGACACUGGUAUGGCAUAUAGGUGAGAUGUAGGAGUACAUCGUCGCUGAACAGUGACUCACCUGUUGAGCACUCCACUGUCAGGAGUUAGCUCACAAA